rnacentral:rRNA from 1 species
AUUGAACGCUGGCGGCAGGCCUAACACAUGCAAGUCGAGCGGAUGAAGAGAGCUUGCUCUCUGAUUUAGCGGCGGACGGGUGAGUAAUGCCUAGGAAUCUGCCUGGUAGUGGGGGAUAACGUUCCGAAAGGAACGCUAAUACCGCAUACGUCCUACGGGAGAAAGCAGGGGACCUUCGGGCCUUGCGCUAUCAGAUGAGCCUAGGUCGGAUUAGCUAGUUGGUGAGGUAAUGGCUCACCAAGGCGACGAUCCGUAACUAGUGUGAGAGGAUGAUCAGUCGCACUGGAACUGAGACACGGUCCGGACUCCUACGGGAGGCAGCAGUGGGGAAUAUUGGACAAUGGGCGAAAGCCUGAUCCAGCUAUGCCGCGUGUGUGAAGAAGGUCUUCGGAUUGUAAAGCACUUUAAGUUGGGAGGAAGGGCAGUAAGUUAAUACCUUGCUGUUUUGACGUUACCGACAGAAUAAGCACCGGCUAACUUCGUGCCAGCCGCCGCCGUAAAAC